rnacentral:rRNA from 1 species
GACGAACCGUACGAACGUUAUUCGGAAUCAUUGGGCUUAAAGGGUGCGUAGGCGGUGCAGAAAGUUGGGUGUGAAAUCCCUCGGCUCAACCGAGGAAUUGCGCCCAAUACUACUGUGCUAGAGGGAGACAGAGGUAAGCGGAACUUAGGGUGGAGCGGUGAAAUGCGUUGAUAUCCUAAGGAACACCAGUGGCGAAAGCGGCUUACUGGGUCUCUUCUGACGCUGAGGCACGAAAGCUAGGGGAGCAAACGGG